CCCACUACUUUUUGUUCUGCUAGUAGCUGCAGAGUGUUCCACCAUAUUCACACGCCAGGCACCAAUAUGUCCCAAGUACCGGGCAUGACAUGUUUCCAGGCUUCUGGUGUCACUGCCAAAAUAUACAACACACAGCCACAGCCAUGGCCCAGGAACAACCUUGGUUCUAAAGUUAUUUACACUGGCCAGCACCGACCUUGGCUACAGAAGUUAUUUACACUGGGUAUCAGGAGACGCACCUGCCCUGGAGCUCUGCUGACACAGAACCCAACAGCUCUCAGAUCCUCUUCCCUUCACAGCCUGAACCAAAGCACUGUCGACUUGUGCUUUCACGGCUCCCUACAGUUACCUGUCCCGAAACCCGCCUCUGACUCUGCUUCUCAGACAGCUGGCACCAGGAGUGGAGCGCUCAUAGGGAGUAUACUUGAAGGACUCAGACUGGGAGCUGGGUCACUCAGCAGCUGAGGGCUGUGAGCACCCAUCGCUGGUGGCAGGAAGAAGAAUCAGAGGCAGCCCACAGUCCCGUGGGACAGAUAUGGGAUGCACCCCUGGUCUUCUUUCAGAACAGUAUCAAUGCCUCCUUUCUGUCACAACAGUCUGAAAGGCCCCAGAUACCUGGGUAUCCCACAGAGCAACACACUGGCCUGCUAUACCAAUAACAUCCUGCUACUCUGGUAGGAUGAGCAAGAAGUGCUGAGCAGACACCUUGGUAAGACACAUAGACCUCAGAAGACAAAAAGGCUUUAGCUUGCCAUCGGUGAAAGUUUUAGUGCUCGGGGUCUGAGGCAUGCAGAGACUUCUACCUCCUAGCACUAAAAAAGGAGCAUGCUGCACAGGAGGCCUCUUCCAGAUUUUGGAGGUAACACAUUGCCCACUGAAGAAAUGCUAUCUCCAGCAAGCCCUAAGAGGAUGGCUCAGCACAGGUCUCUGGGUUCUGAAGCAAGGUCACUACUUGCAGCAGAGAACUACAUGCCUUUCACAAAUGCUGUCCCAGCAUCCUGUCUUGCAAGGACAGAGCACCUGAGCAAGGGACAUCAAGUCAGCAUAUGGCUGGAAAUGCCCUUCAGAAGCUAAGCUGUCAGACCCAUGAGGUUACAAGGCCAGGUGGGCCCAGCAGCAAUCUAAUUGUAAGAAGGUAUCACAUUAGAGACAAGCUUUGUGCAGCUCCGCAGGCCACAGAUACACUGCAUAAGCAGGUGACCCAGACUCUAUGUCAUCUACUACUGACACGAACACUUCUGAUCCAUGUUUUCAGAAACACAGAGGGAAAAGACAAUACUGAUAACUCUUGGAACACAACAGCCUGGAAAAUCCUCACAGUCUAAUUUGGUCAUCUUGUCAAAGUGACAACCAGUUUUGCCCUCUGCUUCUGAGUCAGCUAUCCUAAACACCAACAAAUGAAUACCUGCUUCUCUAACAGAAAUCAAGCCAGGCGUGGUGGGGAUGCCUAUAGUCCUAGCACUCAGGAGGCUGAGGUAGGAGGAUGGCCAUGAGUUUGAGGACAGCCUGGACCACAGCCUGAGCUACAGAGUGAGACCCUGUCUAAAAAAAAAAAAAAAAAAAAGAAAUCAAAGCAGGCAGUCACCAGGGGACACUUGUAAGCAGCAUCAACAUUAGUCAGGAGUCUAAACAGUAAUUAAAAAGGCUACCCUUACAUUUAGAGUUCUCUUUUGAUAUGUUUUUAAAGAACUUUUUAGAACUUAAGUUCACUGAAAUAUAAUUAUUGUAUCUGCUUUUUUCUGAAUUAACAUUAGUUGAUAACUUAGGAACUGCUUUUUGUCAUCAUCAUCUUCUCAAAACCCUCAUUGACAAAAAGAGUACUAUUGUUAGGGUCGGGGAUUUAGCUCAGUGGUUUCACUGCCUGCUGCGCAAGUGCAAGGACCCAAGAUGGAUCCCUGGCACCAAAAAAAAAAAAAAAAAAAAGAGUACUACUCUUAAAAAGUAGGGAGGAAUUAAUAUAAUUAAAAGCAUAAGCAUGGUUAAGAAGGUUAAAGGGGGGUGCUGGUGGGAAUCCUAUUUACUCAAGUUCACAAAAUAUGUUUUUUCUAACUAUCCCCACAAUUGAGGCUAACCCUCAGCAUUUAAAGUCAAAUUUCCAGCCCUUUAACCCUACUCUGGCCUUUAUUCACUCUACAAUAAACCAUGAUGAGGGAGAGGGGAUCCUGUAUUUGCUAUUUACAACAGAAGAUAUGGGCAAUAAAAUUAUUUUACUUUCAUUCCUUAUAGAUUUUAGCCACAAUACAUAAAGUGAGUAAAUAUUACAUGGCCAAUAAAACGAAGUGUGAACUUGACUAACAUGUGGAAAGAACACGAACACAUACAUACACACACACACACACACACACACACACACACGCCUAUACUUGGCUUGGAAGAGAAUAAAGCAUACUAAAAAUAGCUGAAGACAUCAAUGGACAAGAUUUUUCUUUUUUUUUGUACAGUGGUUUGUGAGGAAAAACAUUGUUUAAAGUCAAAACUACAGAAUUCUAUAAAAUACAGGACGUAUUCUAAAAGCUUUGAAUAAGGGACACAGAAAUCUCUUCAGGUUUUCAUGUUGACCCAGUUACUUGGAAGGCUAAAAUAAAAAGGGCUAGGGGCCGGGGAUUUAGCUCAGUGGUUUCGCAGCCUGCUGCGCAUGCGCAAGGACCCGAGUUCAAUCCCCGGUACCAAAAAAAAGGGCUAGGGGUAUAGCCAGUGGCAGAGUGCUUGUCUAUUACAUACAAGACCCUGGGUGCAACCCCAAUACUGCAAAAAGCAAACUUCAUGUUGAUGGUCUUUUUCUAUAAAGAAUGAAAAAAUGGCUGGACCCUCAUUGGAAAAUACAAUGAAGUAGCGGGGCGAAGUGCUUUGAGGUGCGGGUGGGCACACUGCACUUUUCUACACCAAGUCUUACCCGGGAACACAGAGGGUUGAGCCAAAACACAGGCGGCCAGUGAUGGCUCUAAGCUAUGGCUGGCUAUUUGUAACCUCUGGCUAGAAGAAUUUAUCCUGAAAGAACAAACCUCACUUGCUCUGGCUGCUUCAUCUGGAUUAUUUCUUGGCACAAAAGUUGGACAUUUUUGAAAUGGUAGUGAUCUCAGUAUUUUGUUACACGGUGCUCCAGCAGGAAAAAAGUUUUGCUCCAACUUCUAUAGCUUUAUGAAAUGCAAAACUAGUCUCAAUGCUUUGUCAGCAUUUCCAGAUUCUAAGUAAGUGUCUUCUAAUGCAAUAAAAAUACUCCCUGUACCCCAGCACUCUCUGGAUGUACUUGCUGUUUUCCAAUUGCCCGCGUUAGCAAAGCCAUAUUGAAAGCAGGCCUUACUGUCCAUCACCAAUCCCAGGGCUGGCUCUAUGGGCUGCAGUUCUGUGAAGUCUAUGGAGCAAGGAGCCCUGCAGAUGGAGAGCUUCAGCUGACCUCUAACACCAUCACCUCGGGUUCUGAGGUGGUCACAAGGUAACCUAGUUACCAGAGAGAAGAGCAGGCCAGCUUUCCCCGGGCAACUGCGGCCAGUGGGGCUGAGAGGAAGCCAGGACACACAGGGUGGGCAGGGCACAGGAAGCACUGCUGAGAAGUGGAGAACUGAGUCAGAAGGCCUAACCCAGCUGUCGGACCAGCUGUCUGAAGCUCACACUACCUGCAGUUUUUCUUCACAGAAGCGAAGAGAUUCAUCCACUCCACUCCGCCUAGAAGCUAACUAUCUUAACAAAUGCCACAGGAAACAAGAGAGAUACUAAGUGGUUGGCUGCCUCUAACUAAUAUUAGGGAGCCAUUUCGCCACCCUAAACUGUAAGGUCAAUGUGCUCAAAGGACAAAAAGAAGCCCAAGGAAAGGGCCGAUGGGGGCACAGAUGGACUCUGCAUGACCUUCAGGAACCUGCCACCCUUCUCUGAGCCCCAGCAUCCUUCUCUGGAAAGUGGACUCGAAACACUAGAGCAGGAUAUAGAGCAGUGGAAAUGGAAUCAGGUAUGUGAUGCGCCUCUUGUGGUUGCUGGUGCUAAGGAGGAAGGCACGUCGAAAAUGUAGUUUUUGUUACUGCUUUUAUUGUGAGGUCACUGAGA